rnacentral:lncRNA from 1 species
AGUAAGGAGACAUGAUUUACUUUCAUGUCAUGUCAGACUACAAUUGGGCAAACAAAAGUUUGAGUUAUUCGAGGAACUAGAUAUAUAGUCUGAUGCCGUGUAUAUAUAUAAAAGUUGCCGAGCUGCCAAGAAAAAUUCUAAUCGACCUUGGUUUAGUUUUUCUAAGCUUCAGCCCGUUUUACCCUCGGCCUCAAUUUUCCUCUACCCUUUCCCAAAUUCUUCUCGACC